rnacentral:tRNA from 1 species
UCCCGGUUACCUCGGUUGUUAGAGCACUCAACUGGAAAUGGAGAGGUCAAUCCCUGGUUCGAUACCAGGACAAGGUG